GAUGAACGCUGGCGGCGUGCCUAAUACAUGCAAGUCGAGCGAACGGACGAGAAGCUUGCUUCUCUGAUGUUAGCGGCGGACGGGUGAGUAACAAGUGGAUAACCUACCUAUAAGACUGGGAUAACUUCGGGAAACCGUAGCUAAUACCGGAUAAUAUUUUGAACCGCAUGGUUCAAAAGUGAAAGACGGUCUUGCUGUCACUUAUAGAUGUAUCCGCGCUGCAUUAGCUAGUUGGUAAGGUAACGGCUUACCAAGGCAACGAUGCAUAGCCGACCUGAGAGGGUGAUCGGCCACACUGGAGCUGAGACACGGUCCAGACUCCUACGGGAGGCAGCAGUAGGGAAUCUUCCGCAAUGGGCGAAAGCCUGACGGAGCAACGCCGAGUGAGUGAUGAAGGUCUUCGGAGCGUAAAACUCUGUUAUUAGGGAAGAACAUAUGUGUAAGUAACUGUGCACAUCUUGACGGUACCUAAUCAGAAAGCCACGGCUAACUACGUG
rnacentral:rRNA from 1 species